GACGAACGCUGGCGGCGCGCCUAACGCAUGCAAGUCGAACGAGCGAGAGAGAGCUUGCUUUCUUGAGCGAGUGGCGAACGGGUGAGUAACGCGUGAGGAACCUGCCUCAAAGAGGGGGACAACAGUUGGAAACGACUGCUAAUACCGCAUAAGCCCACGACCCGGCAUCGGGUUGAGGGAAAAGGAGUGAUCCGCUUUGAGAGAGCUUUGCGUCCCAUUAGCUGGUUGGUGAGGUAACGGCCACCAAGGCAAUGAUGGGUAGCCGGCCUGAGAGGGUGAACGGCCACAAGGGACUGAGACACGGCCCUU
rnacentral:rRNA from 1 species